rnacentral:rRNA from 1 species
UGGGGAAUUUUGGACAAUGGGCGCAAGCCUGAUCCAGCCAUGCCGCGUGUCUGAAGAAGGCCUUCGGGUUGUAAAGGACUUUUGUCCGGGAGCAAGACUUAGAGAUGACUAGUUUCUAGGGGUGAGAGCACUGGAAGAAUAAGCACCGGCUAACUACGUGCCAGCAGCCGCGGUAAUACGUAGGGUGCGAGCGUUAAUCGGAAUGACUGGGCGUAAAGAGUGCGUAGGCGGUUACGCGAGCUUGAUGUGAAAUCCCCGGGCUUAACCUGGGAAUGGCAUGGAGGACAGCGUAGCUAGAGUCUGUCAGAGGUGGGUAGAAUUCCCUGUGUAGCAGUGAAAUGCGUAGAGAUGGGGAGGAAUACCGAUGGCGAAGGCAGCCUGCUGGGAUAAGACUGACGCUGAGGCACGAAGGCGUGGGGAGCAAACA